GGAUCCAGACUUUGAUCAUGGCUCAGAACGAACGCUGGCGGCGUGUUUAAGACAUGAAAGUCGCACGGGAUCACUUGAGUAGUAAUACAAGAGUGGUCUAGUGGCGCACGGGUGAGUAACAUGUGAAUUACAUGCCCUUCAGUGGGGAAUAGCCCAGGGAAACUUGGAUUAAUACCCCAUGGUAUCGCAAGAUUAAAGGUGGCCGCAAGGCUGUCGCUGAAGGAUUGGUUCGCACCCUAUCAGCUUGUUGGUGAGGUAAUGGCUCACCAAGGCUACGACGGGUACCUGGUCUGAGAGGACGAUCAGGCACACUGGAACUGAGACACGGUCCAGACACCUACGGGUGGCAGCAGUCGAGAAUAAUUCACAAUGGGGGCAACCCUGAUGGUGCAACGCCGCGUGGAGGAUGAAGGUCUUCGGAUUGUAAACUCCUGUCAUCUGGGAGUAAGGCAUGGUUGUUAAUAGCAAACAUGAUUGAUAGUACCAGAAGAGGAAGGGACGGCUAACUUCGUGCCAGCAGCCGCGGUAAUACGAAGGUCCCAAGCGUUGUUCGGAAUCACUGGGCGUAAAGGGAGCGUAGGCGGCGUGGUAAGUCAGAUGUGAAAUCCCGGGGCUCAACCCCGGAACUGCAUCCGAUACUGCCAUGCUAGAGGAUUGGAGAGGUAGCUGGAAUUCUUGGUGUAGCAGUGAAAUGCGUAGAGAUCAAGAGGAACACUCGUGGCGAAAGCGAGCUACUGGACAAUUCCUGACGCUGAGGCUCGAAGGCUAGGGUAGCGAAGGGGAUUAGAUGCCCCUGUAGUCCUAGCAGUAAACGGUGCACGCUUGGUGUGAGGGGAAUCGACCCCCCUUGUGCCGGAGCUAACGCGUUAAGCGUGCCGCCUGGGAAGUACGGUCGCAAGACUAAAACUCAAAGAAAUUGACGGGGACCCGCACAAGCGGUGGAGUAUGUGGCUUAAUUCGAUGCAACGCGAAGAACCUUACCAAGGCUUGACAUGCAUCUCUAAACACGUGAAAGCGUGUGACCCUUCGGGGAAUUUGCACAGGUGCUGCAUGGCCGUCGU
rnacentral:rRNA from 1 species